rnacentral:rRNA from 1 species
UACGGAAGGCAGCAGUGGGGAAUAUUGCACAAUGGGCGCAAGCCUGAUGCAGCCAUGCCGCGUGUAUGAAGAAGGCCUUCGGGUUGUAAAGUACUUUCAGUCGUGAGGAAGGUGUUAAGGUUAAUAACCUUAGCAAUUGACGUUAGCGACAGAAGAAGCACCGGCUAACUCCGUGCCAGCAGCCGCGGUAAUACGGAGGGUGCGAGCGUUAAUCGGAAUUACUGGGCGUAAAGGGCACGCAGGCGGUUAAUUAAGUUGGAUGUGAAAUCCCCGGGCUUAACCUGGGAAUGGCAUUCAAGACUGGUUAGCUAGAGUCUUGUAGAGGGGGUAGAAUUCCAUGUGUAGCGGUGAAAUGCGUAGAGAUGUGGAGGAAUACCGGUGGGCGAAGGCGGGCCCCUGGGACAAAGACUGACGCUCAUGUGCGAAAGCGUGGGGAGCAAACAGGGAUUAGAUACC